UGGAGGACUGAGAAAGUUGAACAGCUUCUGUUGUGCUGUUGUAACUGGUUUUUGCCUCCAAGAAUAACUAACAAAUCACAUGGUUAAGUCACUCUGGCAUACACGGAGUUGAUGUGUGUGUUUGUGGAUCAUUUA